UGCUUAAAUCAAAAUUUGAAUUGUUUGCUUCUAGCUGCAAACUUCAAACAAAUGUUGCUUUAGUAUAUGCCUUUUUAUAUUGUUCAAAACAGUUUGAAUAGCGAUUACUAGUAGCACACAUAUAAGGGCGACAACCUUGUCAUAAGAAGAACAAAGCAGGAGAAUGGAAUUGUGGGGGACCUCCAUACAUACAGAGCAGGUUGUAUCUUCC
rnacentral:lncRNA from 1 species